GUUUUGUGUAGCCAGAUUAUAAUUCCCAUAAGACAAGUGCAUGACCAGCAUUAGCCCAGCCUGGGGAAUGGGCCAGCUCGGCUUGGGUCUGUCUGUCCUUCCAAACCCCCUCCUGGAGCUGCCGUGAUCUGAGCCCUGUGAUAAAAUGUAUGACUCCUGUGUGCUCCCUUUGCUUUGGGCAAAUAGGCCAAAUACUUGUUUUCCUAGAAAAAUAUUUUGGUACAUAAAUAUGCAAGGUGUAUAUGAAUAGCUGAAAGGAGUGAAUUUCCACAGAAGAAAGAGCAGUAAGUGCUAGAUAGGUUGCUCUAAACAGCAAAGGGCUGGGCGUGUUUCAGAGCUCCUGCCCAGCCCGCCGUGGUUCUAUCAGCCCCUCUUGAGAAUGUGCAGGUGGCAGCGCCAGCGCCUGCCGAGUGCCCAGGUUUUCCUGUGGGAAGUGUACCUCGCUGUCCGCCCUGGGGCACGCUGCUCUUGUAAAAGGAAUUUCUUUUCCCUUAUGUAACUUGUUGGUGUUACAUCCAGAGUCGGCUCUUGCAAAAGUGCGUCAGUCUUGCUUGCAGUGGCACUGAAAAAACUUAACAGAGCGUGCACUGAAUUCCCCCCUUAUCUCUCUAUGGCACAUUUUAUGUAUCUUGUAGUGAGAUGUUUUGUUUCUGCAGUUUCAGACUUCGUGUUUCAGAAGAUUAAUAGACUUAGCAGCCCUGUUUGCUCAGCUUAGCAGCGAUAACAAUGUAAUAAGUCAUGAGACGGUCGCAGAUCAUCUGGCAAGGCAAAAUAAGCCUUGGACUUGAACUUGGAGCAGGUAUUAUUUGCAGAGAAAAGUGAAAUGUUGAAAGCAUUAUAAAUAGCGUGUCGUGCCUGGGGUGGCCGUGGGUUGAGGUCUGCCUGCAGAGCCGGCACGGGAGGCGGCUGCUGGCAUCUGCAUUUGUGCUCCGGAUGGCCCGGCAGGCCGAGGCAGCGUUUGUACCGUACAUGGCUGCUAUUUACUGCAGCACGUACAGCCCUGCCGGGCUGGGCCCGGGCUGCAGGAGCGGGCUGGGCCCGGGCUGCCAGCCCUCCCGCAGCACCCCGCGCAUUCCUGCUGCCUGCCUGCGUCCCGGCCAGCCAGUCCAACUGCGAGCAUGAAGUCUGGAACUCUUUACCUGGGUCAUGAAUCCUUCCGUGCUCCAAAGGUAGGCACAGCUCCUGUGGACUUUGAGCCUUCUUUCAAGCAGUGAAAAAUCAAAGGUAGUGAGUCCGUGAUCCUGAUAAUGUAAUUAUGUAUUUUUCAGCUUUUUGACGUGUAGCAGUUUAAAAUGUUGUUUUGGGAGUGGGUGCUUGCUGUGGUGCUGGAGCUUUGCAGGCUGCUGGGAAGGAAGUCCCUGGGCAGAUAUCUUGUUUGCUGCUUAUCAACGUUUUAUUGAGCUCCUGUAUUUGUGUGCAAAUAUAUUCAAUAAAUAAAUCUUUAAUGAUGUGAUUUUUGUUGUG
rnacentral:lncRNA from 1 species